GAGCAUGUGGUUUAAUUUGAUGAUAUGCGUAGUGUACCUUACCUGGGCUAGAAUGCGAGCGCUAUCCUGAGAGAUCAGGAGUUCUUCGGACGUGAAGCAAGGUGCUGCAUGUCUGUCGUCAGCUCGUGCCGUGAGGUGUUGGGUUAAGUCCCGCAACGAGCGCAACCCAUAUUGUUAGUUGCCAGCACGUAAAGGUGGGGACUCUAACGAGACUGCCUGCGCAAGCAGAGAGGAAGGAGGGGACGACGUCAAGUCAUCAUGGCCCUUACGCCCAGGGCUACACACGUGCUACAAUGGUGGAUACAGAGGGUAGCUACCCAGUAAUGGGAUGCCAAUCUCGGAAAGUCCAUCUCAGUUCGGAUUGAGGUCUGCAACUCGACCUCAUGAAGUUGGAAUCGCUAGUAAUCGCGCAUCAGCCAUGGCGCGGUGAUACGUUCCCGGACCUUGUACACACCGCCCGUCAAGCCAUGGGAGUUGGGUAUACCUGAAGAUGCUUGCUGCGAGGCGCUGUUUAGGGUAGA
rnacentral:rRNA from 1 species